rnacentral:rRNA from 1 species
GACGUAGGGCGCGAGCGUUGUCCGGAUUUAUUGGGCGUAAAGAGCUCGUAGGCGGCUUGUUGCGUCGACUGUGAAAACCCGCGGCUUAACUGCGGGCUUGCAGUUGAUACGGGCAGGCUAGAGUUCGGUAGGGGAGACUGGAAUCCUGGUGUAGCGGUGAAAUGCGCAGAUAUCAGGAGGAACACCGGUGGCGAAGGCGGGUCUCUGGGCCGAUACUGACGUGAGGAGCGAAAGCGUGGGGAGCGAACAGG